rnacentral:rRNA from 1 species
UGGGGAAUAUUGCACAAUGGGCGCAAGCCUGAUGCAGCCAUGCCGCGUGUGUGAAGAAGGCCUUCGGGUUGUAAAGCACUUUCAGCGAGGAGGAAGGUGGUGAGCUUAAUACGCUCAUCAAUUGACGUUACUCGCAGAAGAAGCACCGGCUAACUCCGUGCCAGCAGCCGCGGUAAUACGGAGGGUGCAAGCGUUAAUCGGAAUUACUGGGCGUAAAGCGCACGCAGGCGGUUUGUUAAGUCAGAUGUGAAAUCCCCGGGCUCAACCUGGGAACUGCAUUUGAAACUGGCAAGCUAGAGUCUCGUAGAGGGGGGUAGAAUUCCAGGUGUAGCGGUGAAAUGCGUAGAGAUCUGGAGGAAUACCGGUGGCGAAGGCGGCCCCCUGGACGAAGACUGACGCUCAGGUGCGAAAGCGUGGGGCAGCAAACAGGAUUAGAUACCCUGGUAGUCCAGCGCUGUAAAACGAUGUCGAUUUGGAGGUUGUGCCCUUGAGGCGUGGCUUCCGGAGCUAACGCGUUAAAUCGACCGCCUGGGGAGUACGGCCGCAAGGUUAAAACUUAAAGGAAUUGAC